CCUUUCUGUUUGUUUUAUUUUGUUUUUUCGGUUAUUUAUUCAGGAAAGGUCUAAAUUUGUAAUCUAAAUUGCUGUUAUUUGCUUUCUCCGGUAAUAGUUUGGUUGACUUUACUUGCUCUGUGAUUAAGAGUGGAAACUCCAAAAGUUACAUUUCCCCCAUAGUUUAGUUUUGUUUCAUCAAGUUUAUCGAUUAAAAUGAGUGAUUCUUAUACCAUAUUCGCUUCCAAUCUGCGAGCUCGAUGGAACGGUGUUUUCUUCAAUUUUGUCACUUCUUAUAUGCUGCAAUUUAUGCAUGUAGUUGUGUAUUCCUGUUUUUAUUUGGGGUUUUUAGUUCCAUGCCUUUCAACUACGAUUUACCUGAUUAUUUUGCAGAAAGUGAAAGAUCAGGACAUCAGGUAUCUACUUGUUUGAUUUGAAAAAAGGGCGUUUAUAGGCAAACAUGCUGCAUUUACGUGUUCGUUCUGUUAUGCCGUUGACCACUCAAUUGUAUUUAAUCUUUAUACUCCCGUAAAACUCCAUCUUGCCAUGAGUUUCUCCUCCGCGCAAUAAAUGAGUCAUUAAAAUAACUGAUUUGCUUUAUCGAGAGCAAAGAGUUCAAACUCCGUGAAAGUGCCAAUUCGUCCAUCCACACUAGCCAACUAGCCAACCAGCCAACCACGAUAUCCAUUCGACAUAUAAUAUUGUUUAUGAUGAAAUUAUCCAAAGACGUCCAUGUAAGUCUUUCACUAUCUCCAAUUUGGAUGAAUUUCUGCUCUAUUUCGUCCUUUUACUCAUGUUUAUUUUGCUUAAUCUCUUACAAAUAUUCACAUUUGUUUCUUUUUUGUCAAAUUGUCAACGAGGUUGAGAAUGGACUUUUACUUACCUCAAUUUCGGAAAGAAGUUCAGUAGUAAGGGGUUUCCAUCAUAUUACUAUAUCUUAAUGCUUAUAUGAUCUUAUUCGAUAUCAUAGAUUUGACCAUCUACUUAUUCUUCCACUUCCUUUUACAUUGCUAUCUCAAUGUAUUUAAUAAUCAGUUGCUCAAUUCUUUAACUUUGUGUAAAAGCUAUUUGUCUUGUUUACUUGCGAACAACAUGAUUGCAGAGAAAUAGAACAGCCAGCCUACCAUACAACUGGUGCCAGUAAGAACUUCUUAAAUGACUGAAUGAGUAUUUUUGAAAUACGGUUAUUUCUUCAUCCUUUUUUCUUGAAUUUUUUUGAACUGACAGUUUUACCAUAUUGGAUAAUAGAAAAUUAAAUACCAUCCAACAUGUGAUGGCUUGUUGCCUGUAGGUCGUGAUGUGCCUUGAGAUAUGGGGUCUCUCAGAAAAAAGGACAUUAUCUCUAUUUGUCUCUCUUACUCGAACUAGCCACCCCUUGGGAACCGUCUCCCCUUUUACCCUGCAAUGAAGGGCGGAGUCAUGACACCAAAGUGCUCCUUCUACGGACAUCAAUAUCUUUUUCUCUUUCUCUUUGUCUUCCUUGAACGGUCCUUUGCUGGGAGAUGCCUUUAUACAAGGCAAGAACUUCUGAUACUUCUGAAACAUUUUGUUUUUCCCUGUUUUCUAGAUUUCUAAGCUUCUGUUACUGUCUACACUUUAGAGUAGAUGUCAAUUUUAAUGCAAGAUAGUGCCGACUCUGUAUUACAUGUUAUCAAGGUAGUGCACACACUAUGUUCCAUAGAGGUCAAGUUUUUAAAAGGUCAUAGGUUUUAGGUUGCUAGAUGAAAUAUUGAAACACGUUUGAGGAGCUGAUAAUGUAUUUGCCCUAAAAAACAGGGGAUUACAAGUAUAUCCUAGAUUGCAUAUGCUGGUAACACUGUUGGAAGUAUUUUCCUGCCAACUUUUGUAAUUGUGUAGGGACUAGGGCGCAUAUGGCUCGACGGUGCAGUCUUAUGGAAAAUUGAAAGGACCGCCUGAAGAUUAGCUUCAAAGCUUGAACUUUCAAUAUAGUCAAAAGAAAUGCGGAUGGCCUCAUUCCAGAAUCUGCAUUGACUGUUUUGAAUUGAAGGGACUUUGCCUACUAACUAGGAGCUUCAGUCACAUGAAGAAGUGUUAGUUCUUUGAUAUUAGUUGACUUGAAAAAGGUAUUGCAGAUCUGAUGCUCCUGUUGAUAUUUUUUCCCCUGCUCUGUGGAACUUGAAUUUCAUGCGUCUUUGUUUCUGCAUUUGAACAGCUUAGGCAAUAGACAAUUGUUAUCUCAUGGUUGAUUUUCUACUAUUGUUGUAGAAGGUUGUAAAGUUUUUAUAAUUAAGUGAUUUUUAGCUAGCCGGUAGAUUUACAUUGGUCCCAUUUUCAACAUCGAAAAUGGUAGAAACUAAUCUAAAAUUUUGGUGUUAGGCGAUGCCCAUGUUCUGAAGAAAUCUUUAACCGGAGUAAAAGAAGGGGUAUAUUGCACAUAGUUGUUGAACUAAGUGAUCUUGAGAAUGAAGUUAUAGUGAUAGGAUAAAAAGAUGUGGAUGAAAAUAUUCUACUACAGAUUAUAGGUAGACCAAGAAGAACCAGAAGUGUCAAAGUCCACUGGGUUACCUAUAAACUCAACCAUACAAAAUGCUUCUUUAUUAUGUGAGGUUAAGAAACAACACUGGAAGACUGGUAGCAUAGGAAAGACAACAAAAGAACAAGAGAUAUGGUAGAAGAAAAUGGGAGAUAUAGUUCAAUCCCAAGAAGAAACUAUUCUAGCUGCUCAUUUUUCUGAGUUAUUAAGACGAGUCUACACAUAAGACUAUGGUAGUCAAGGUAUUUAGUGGCUUAUUCUGAUAUUGAAUUCACUUUGUAGAGUUUUUCAUUAUACUUGGAGCAUUUUUUGCUUAAUUUCUACCCCAAUAAAUUUUAAACUUUAAAAAGGACUUUCAUAUUACCUAUUGUUUAAGGUAUUGAUAAUAUUUUUUAUUGUGCCUUACCUCUUCAGAUUUUAUUAACAUUGAGAUACAGUUUUCGCUUGUGCAUUUCAACAUUAGUCACAUCAAAGUACUAGAUACACCACAGCUUAUUUUAACAUUAACUUAUCUUAAUUACAUGAAGCCCAAUCUGUUGGGGUUGUUGGUAAGUUGUUGAACAUUUCUACGUGAGAUUUUGUUGUAUAUUCAAACUGGGACUUUGUCAGGAUAAAAGGAAUCAGUUGGGGGUGGGCAUAAUCAUUUAUGUGGAGGCUCGUCACUUAUUUGCCUCUUGAUAUUCUUAAAUUUAUCAUCUCUUAUUUGGGCUGCCUUCACGACUAACAAGGAUUUGAGAGGUAUAAAGAAGCAAUUUGGGUGAUGAUCAAGGUCUUCUUGCUGCUGAAAUUCAGUCUCCACUUCACCUCGGCAAAGGAUGAUAGCAAUAUUGAGUCAAACCUUGUGUUGUGUUGAAGGACGAGCACUGAAAGAAGAAAAUAUUAUUGGAGUACCAGUAGUUGUAUAUACAGUUAAAAUAAUUGUGAUUUUUUGGUUGAUACAUAGUUUCUGUUAUAUAAUAUUAUAUGUUUACACUUUGGUUAAGAUUUCUGAAUAAUUUGGGAGCAACAGUUACAUAAAACAAAGAUAUUGGAAUGUAAAGCUUAUUAGUUAGUACCGUGGAGCUUUUCAUUA